CCUACGGGAGGCAGCAGUGGGGAAUUUUGGACAAUGGGCGCAAGCCUGAUCCAGCUAUUCCGCGUGUGGGAUGAAGGCCCUCGGGUUGUAAACCACUUUUGUAGAGAACGAAAAGACACCUUCGAAUAAAGGGUGUUGCUGACGGUACUCUAAGAAUAAGCACCGGCUAACUACGUGCCAGCAGCCGCGGUAAUACGUAGGGUGCGAGCGUUAAUCGGAAUUACUGGGCGUAAAGCGCUCGUAGGCGGUAUGUCAAGUCAAGGGUGAAAUCCCCGCGCUCAACGUGGGAACUGCCUUUGAAACUGGCAAACUGGAGUGUGUGAGAGGAUAGUGGAAUUCCAGGUGUAGGAGUGAAAUCCGUAGAUAUCUGGAGGAACAUCAGUGGCGAAGGCGACUAUCUGGCACAUAACUGACGCUGAGGAGCGAAAGCGUGGGUAGCAAACAGGAUUAGAUACCCGAGUAGUC
rnacentral:rRNA from 1 species